ACGCUGCUCUCUCUUUCUCACACACGAGGUUUCUGCUGAAUUCUCCUUCAAAUUAACGAUUUCCUGAUUUUCUUCUUUGGCAUUUUCUGUCGGUGCAAGAGGAAUGGGAGAGGGACUCCGGCCUAGUACUAUUCCGUCAGUACUGUCUCCCGAUCCCGAGGCAACGGGGAGAUUCCGGAGCGACUUGACAGAAUGGACAGACGAGAAGCACAGUCUGUAUAUUGAUUCUCUAGAGGCAUCAUUUGUUACCAAGCUGCAGCGAUCCAUGCAUAUGCAUGCUUGGCACUCCGAAGCAAACACCUGGGGAUCAUAUUCAGCUGAAGAACCUCGAUCCAAAACUUGCAAUUCUUCUGACCUGGUUCGGAAGUGAAUGGUCGCAUAUGUUCCAUUCUUUCCGUGUUGUUCUUGUCUUGUUCAAACUCCUGAUGCAGUAGUCUUAUUUACUGUUAUUAAUUUUCAGUUUGUGGUACUACGAGAUGGCAGCUGGCAGAAGAUCAACUUUGAAAGAAAUGUUCCUUUGUUGGACAGCACUGCUGAUUCUCAGGUUGUUCUAAGAAGUCCAUGGAUACGCCAUUUUACAUCUUCAGGAAAGCGGCGCUGUGUAAGAUCUCCAAAUGUCCAAGAACACUGUUCUUUACGAUGAAGGAACUUACGUAAAAGGGCAUUUAUUCUGUGGAUGUUUGGAGCAAAAUUUGGAAUUGGCAGCUGUACAAGGCUUCAGAUCAGAAUUUUGCGGAUGAAGACCAAGGAGAGAAGUCAAGCUGUGUGCAUCCAUGAUGAAAAGGUUGAAGAUAACUGCAGCUGAUGCUGUAAGCAAUGAUCAAGUUGUGCCCUCCAGAAAGGGAACUGUCAAUAACGCGCUUCCUCAGAGAGGGAACAACAAGGACAUUGCGAACUGCAGUCAGAGCACCCUUGAGAUCCUUGUCUGCCCACAAUCUGAUCUACAUUAUUUUCUCUGGUUACUAUUUCUUAUGGAUGGUUGGUGCUGGGGUUAGUGAAGUUCGUUAGCUAUGGGAGAGAGACUCUUCGUCUUACCUAUUCUUUCUCUGAGCCUCCUUUCUUUCCCUGUUCAUUUCCUCAAUUUUGUGCACUGAAACUUUAUUUCCGAGAGAAGUUCGAACUCCUAUUAGACCUAAAAAUCAGGAAAUGCAGUUGAUGCAUAUUGUAAAUGCAUUGAUUGAAAGGUUUAGAUCCUUAAUUCCUAGUAAGCAUCUGAACCAUGUAUAUUUUGGUAGUCCAUCAACGAAGUGAAUUCUUUUUUUCUUGGCAUAACAAAGACGAUCCAUGCUUUCAA